UGGGGAAUAUUGCGCAAUGGGCGAAAGCCUGACGCAGCAACGCCGCGUGGGUGAAGAAGGCCUUCGGGUCGUAAAGCCCUGUCAUUUUGGACGAAGACCCUGAUGGUAAAUAGCUAUUAGGGAUGACGGUACAAGAGAAGGAAGCCCCGGCUAACUACGUGCCAGCAGCCGCGGUAAUACGUAGGGGGCAAGCGUUGUCCGGAAUUACUGGGCGUAAAGAGCGUGUAGGCGGAUUCUUAAGUCGGGUGUGAAAGCUCUGGGCUCAACCUAGAGAGUGCAUCCGAAACUGGGAACCUUGAGGGUGAGAGAGGAAAGUGGAAUUCCUAGUGUAGCGGUGAAAUGCGUAGAUAUUAGGAGGAACACCAGUGGCGAAGGCGGCUUUCUGGCUCAUUCCUGACGCUGAGACGCGAAAGCGUGGGGAGCAAACAGG
rnacentral:rRNA from 1 species